rnacentral:misc_RNA from 1 species
GAUGAAGAACGUAGUGAAAUGCGAUACGUAAUGUGAAUUGCAGAAUUCAGUGAAUCAUCGAGUCUUUGAACGCACAUUGCGCCCCCUGGUAUUCCGGGGGGCAUGCCUGUCCGAGCGUCAUUGCUGCCCUCAAGCACGGCUUGUGUGUUGGGCCUCCGUCCUCCUCCCGGGGGACGGGCCCGAAAGGCAGCGGCGGCACCGCGUCCGGUCCUCGAGCGUAUGGGGCUUCGUCACCCGCUCUUGUAGGCCCGGCCGGCGCUUGCCGACACAUCAAUCUUUUUUCCAGGUUGACCUCGGAUCAGGUAGAGAUACCCGCUGAACUUAAGCAUAUCAAUAAGCGGAGGA